UACGGGGGGAGCAAGCGUUGUUCGGAUUUACUGGGCGUAAAGGGCGGGUAGGCGGCCACCGCAAGUCAGUUGUGAAAUCUCUGGGCUUAACCCAGAAAGGUCAACUGAUACUGCGGGGCUAGAGUGCAGAAGGGGCAACUGGAAUUCUCGGUGUAGCGGUGAAGUGCGUAGAUAUCGAGAGGAACACCGGUGGCGAAGGCGGCAUUCUGGACUGCAACUGACACUGAAAGACGAAAGCCAGGGGAGCAAACGGG
rnacentral:rRNA from 1 species